AUCACCAUGUCGAAGAGCUAUGAAAUCAAAAAAAUAUACUUUUCAGACCGAAGAACGAGAUAUAAGUUUUGAAAGUAUUGGACCAAACUUGUUUGUAAAAAAUCAAGAAACUAUGAAACCGCGUCAAAACACUUUUGAUAACAAUGAACAAGAUAUAAGCCAGAAAACUCCCAAAGUAAAGAUGACUGGAAAAAAGCAAACGAGAUUACCAAUAAUUUCUUAUAAAUUCGACAUCUGAAUUUAAAUAAUCAUAAUUAUGUUGUUAUUAUUAAAAUAAAAUAAAUUAUCAAUUCUUAAUAUAAUGUAAACUUAAAUUAGUUGUAUAAUAAAAUGUAAAAA